rnacentral:rRNA from 1 species
CCAGACUCCUACGGGAGGCAGCAGUGGGGGAUAUUGCACAAUGGGGGGAACCCUGAUGCAGCGACGCCGCGUGGGUGAAGAAGCGCCUCGGCGCGUAAAGCCCUGUCAGCAGGGAAGAAAAUGACGGUACCUGAAGAAGAAGCCCCGGCUAACUACGUGCCAGCAGCCGCGGUAAUACGUAGGGGGCAAGCGUUAUCCGGAUUUACUGGGUGUAAAGGGGGCGCAGACGGCGAUGCAAGCCAGGAGUGAAAGCCCGGGGCCCAACCCCGGGACUGCUCUUGGAACUGCGUGGCUGGAGUGCGGGAGGGGCAGGCGGAAUUCCUGGUGUAGCGGUGAAAUGCGUAGAUAUCAGGAGGAACACCGGUGGCGAAGGCGGCCUGCUGGACUGCAACUGACGUUGAGGCCCGAAAGCGUGGGGAGCAAACAGGAUUAGAUACCCUCGUAGGC